GGGGGUAUAGAUCAGUGGUAGAACACUUGCUUAGUAAGCAUGAGGCUCUAGGUUCAAUCCCUAGCCCCCA
rfam:Ictidomys tridecemlineatus contig077712, whole genome shotgun sequence.